AUUGAACGCUGGCGGCAGGCCUAACACAUGCAAGUCGGACGGUAGCACAGAGGAGCUUGCUCCUCGGGUGACGAGUGGCGGACGGGUGAGUAAUGUCUGGGGAUCUGCCCGAUAGAGGGGGACAACCACUGGAAACGGUGGCUAAUACCGCAUAACGUCGCAAGAACAAAGAGGGGGACCUUCGGGCCCCUCACUAUCGGAUGAACCCAGAUGGGAUUAGCUAGCAGGCGGGGUAACGGCCCACCUAGGCGACGAUCCCUAGCUGGUCUGAGAGGAUGGCCAGCCACACUGGAACUGAGACACGGUCCAGACUCCUACGGGAGGCAGCAGUGGGGAAUAUUGCACAAUGGGCGCAAGCCUGAUGCAGCCAUGCCGCGUGUAUGAAGAAGGCCUUCGGGUUGUAAAGUACUUUCAGCGGGGAGGAAGGCGAUGUGGUUAAUAACCGCAUUGAUUGACGUUACCCGCAGAAGAAGCACCGGCUAACUCCGUGCCAGCAGCCGCGGUAA
rnacentral:rRNA from 1 species